rnacentral:rRNA from 1 species
CCUACGGGCGGCAGCAGUAGGGAAUCUUCCACAAUGGGCGAAAGCCUGAUGGAGCAACGCCGCGUGGGUGAAGAAGGUCUUCGGAUCGUAAAACUCUGUUGUUAGAGCAGAAAGUGCGUGAGAGUAACUGUUCACGUUUCGACGGUAUCUAACCAGAAAGCCACGGCUAACUACGUGCCAGCAGCCGCGGUAAUACGUAGGUGGCAAGCGUUAUCCGGAUUUAUUGGGCGUAAAGGGAACGCAGGCGGUCUUUUAAGUCUGAUGUGAAAGCCUUCGGCUUAACCGGAGUAGUGCAUUGGAAACUGGGAGACUUGAGUGCAGAAGAGGAGAGUGGAACUCCAUGUGUAGCGGUGAAAUGCGUAGAUAUAUGGAAGAACACCAGUGGCGAAAGCGGCUCUCUGGUCUGUAACUGACGCUGAGGUUCGAAAGCGUGGGUAGCAAACAGGAUUAGAUACCCUUGUAGUC